rnacentral:rRNA from 1 species
AACGAACGCUGGCGGCAUGCCUAACACAUGCAAGUCGAACGAGACCUUCGGGUCUACUGGCGCACGGGUUCGUAACGCGUUGGAACCUGCCCUUAUGUUCGGAAUAACUCCCCGAAAGGGGUGCCAAUACCGGAUAAUGUCUUCGGACCAAAGAUUUAUCGCCUUUGGAUGGGCCCGGGUUGGAUUAGCUAGUUGGUAGGGUAAACGCCUACCAAGGCGACGAUCCAUAGCUGGUCUGAGAGGAUGAUCAGACACACUGGGACUGAGACACGGCCCAGACUCCUACGGGAGGCAGAAGUGGGGAAUAUUGGACAAUGGGCGAAAGCCUGAUCCAGCAAUGCCGCGUGAGUGAUGAAGGCCUUAGGGUUGUAAAGCUCUUUUACCCGGGAUGAUAAUGACAGUACCGGGAGAAUAAGCUCCGGCUAACUACGUG